GCGCCCGUAGCUCAGAUGGAUAGAGCGAACGCCUCCGAAGCGUUAGGUCACAAGUUCGAAUCUUGUCGGGCGCACCA
rnacentral:tRNA from 1 species